rnacentral:rRNA from 1 species
GACGAACGCUGGCGGCGUGCCUAAUACAUGCAAGUUGAGCGAUGAAGAUUGGUGCUUGCCCCAAUUUGAAGAGCAGCGAACGGGUGGGUAACGCGUGGGGAAUCUGCCUUUGAGCGGGGGACAACAUUUGGAAACGAAUGCUAAUACCGCAUAACAACUUUAAACAUAAGUUUUAAGUUUGAAAGAUGCAAUUGCAUCACUCAAAGAUGAUCCCGCGUUGUAUUAGCUAGUUGGUGAGGUAAAGGCUCACCAAGGCGAUGAUACAUAGCCGACCUGAGAGGGUGAUCGGCCACAUUGGGACUGAGACACGGCCCAAACUCCUACGGGAGGCAGCAGUAGGGAAUCUUCGGCAAUGGACGAAAGUCUGACCGAGCAACGCCGCGUGAGUGAAGAAGGUUUUCGGAUCGUAAAACUUUGUUGGUAGAGAAGAACGUUGGUGAGAGUGGAAAGCUCAUCAAGUGACGGUAACUACCCAGAAAGGGACGGCUAACUACGUG